ACUCCUACGGGAGGCAGCAGUGGGACUCCUACGGGAGGCAGCAGUGGGACUCCUACGGGAGGCAGCAGUGGGACUCCUACGGGAGGCAGCAGUGGGCCCCACUCCUACGGGAGGCAGCAGUGGGACUCCUACGGGAGCGAGCAGUGGGGCAGUUGGCUCAGAACGAACGCUGGCGGCUGGCUACGCACGAACGCGAACGGCUGGCUCAGAAAUCAGGCUGGCUGACUUUC
rnacentral:misc_RNA from 1 species